UUCCUGAUAGCUUAGUCGGUGAAAGCGAGUAGCUGUUAACUACUAGAUCGUAGGUUCGAAUCCUACUCAGGAAG
rnacentral:tRNA from 2 species